rnacentral:rRNA from 1 species
AAUGAACGUUGGCGGCGUGGAUUAGGCAUGCAAGUCGCGCGAGAAAUUUCCUUCGGGAGAUGGAAAGCGGCGAAAGGGAGAGGAAUAAGUAGAAAUCUGCCCUCGGGACGGGGAUAGCGGCGGGAAACUGCCGGUAAUACCCGAUAACAUCUUCGGAUCAAAUGGUGUGAUUCCGCCUGGGGAUGAGUCUACUUCCUAUUAGCUAGUUGGCGGGGUAAUGGCCCACCAAGGCAACGAUGGGUAGCGGGUGUGAGAGCACGAUCCGCCUCACUGGGACUGAGACACUGCCCAGACACCUACGGGUGGCUGCAGUCGAGAAUCUUCGGCAAUGGGGGAAACCCUGACCGAGCGACGCCGCGUGCGGGAUGAAGGCCCUCGGGUUGUAAACCGCUGUCGUAAGGGAACAAAUCUAUGAGGGUACUCUCUCAUAGUUGAGUGAUCUUAGGAGGAAGGACGGGCUAAGUUCGUGCCAGCAGCCGCAGUAAAAC